CCGUUAUUGUCUUUUCUAUUAAGAAAGUGUUCGAGCUCCCAUCGUGCCAGCGCCAAUGGCUACACAAAGCUGGUUCUGAGGAUGGUAGGACGGGAUGUAAUUUCUCCUUAUAUCUGUCAAAUAAUUUCCUCUAAAUAUAUCCGCUCCAGCACAAAAUAGACAGAAUAGACAGUAAGGAAAUAUUCCAACAAGUGAAAAGAAAAAGAAUGAACAAUUUGACCCUCUGACAAGCGAGAAAUGUUUAUGAAGGACCCGCAGCCCCGGCGUGGAGCGGUGGACACCCCGCACUAUUGAAAAUUAUUGAUAUUGCAUUGUUAUUUCAUGAUUUAUGUAUGAUUGUGUUUUGGGUUUUAUAUCAUUUAAUAACGCAAGGGCC